UUCGUAGGCGGUGUGGCAAGUCGGGAGUGAAAUCUCUGGGCUCAACUCAGAGGCUGCUUCCGAAACUGCUGUGCUUGAGUGUGGGAGAGGCGCGUGGAAUUGCAGGUGUAGCGGUGAAAUGCGUAGAUAUCUGCAGGAACACCCGCGGCGAAAGCGGCGCGCUGGACCACAACUGACGCUGAGGAACGAAAGCUAGGGGAGCAAACAGGAUUAGAUACCCUGGUAGUCCUAGCCCUAAACGAUCAGGACUUGGGGUGUCGCCCGUUCGGGCGACGUCCCGGAGCUAACGCGUUAAGUCCUGCACCUGGGGAGUACGGUCGCAAGACUGAA
rnacentral:rRNA from 1 species